rnacentral:tRNA from 1 species
GUGGUCGUAGAUCAAUGGUAGAUCCCCAGAUUGUGAUUCUGGUCGUUGCGGGUUCGAGUCCCGUCGGCCACCCCA